rnacentral:rRNA from 1 species
CAGUAGCCGCGGUAAUACGGAGGGCGCGAGCGUUACCCGGAUUUACUGGGCGUAAAGGGCGUGUAGGCGGCCUGGGGCGUCCCAUGUGAAAGGCCACGGCUCAACCGUGGAGGAGCGUGGGAUACGCUCAGGCUAGAGGGUGGGAGAGGGUGGUGGAAUUCCCGGAGUAGCGGUGAAAUGCGCAGAUACCGGGAGGAACGCCGAUGGCGAAGGCAGCCACCUGGUCCACUUCUGACGCUGAGGCGCGAAAGCGUGGGGAGCAAACCGGAUUAGAGACCCCUGUAGUCCCUGUCUCUUAUAC